GGUGAAGAAUCAUUUUUGUGGCAGGAGGAGAUCACCACUGCCAAUACCCAUGGAGCAAGAAACCACCAGCCCAAAGGAAAGAAACACUGAGCAUGGCACUAAUUAGCAUGAAUAGCAAGAGAAUUACCCAGCAGAACACUAAUUAAAAGAGAGCUAUAUAACACAUAGCCAAUGAACACUGAUGGCCUAUUAAGAAAACCUUUGAAACCAUAUGUGAGAUUCAGAUUAUUGAGGGUUUUUUGUUGUGAGCAAUGUUGGACAUUGCCAGCGCCCAGAAGUUGUGCCAAAUGCUGAACCACUCACUAUAACCUCAAAUACCACAAGAACUCUACAAAACUCCUGUAACUUUUUGGGGCUACAUUAAAAUCCAAACUCCCACCCCAAGCAGCAGUGGGAGAGCUCAUGCUGGCACCAAGCUCACCCUGUGAACCCCCAGAAUAAAUGGGGUGAGAUCAGUAAAACCUGCACAAGACAUCCCAGAUUGCUUGCAGCUCUGCUAGCCAUCAUGUCACCGUGAUGUUUAGAUCUUAUUAUUUGCCAUAAUAAGAUGCCAAAAGUAAUUUUCAAAAAGGGAACUGUUAGACUUUUGCAAAAUGUGAUUGUGCUCAAGGUCUGGGAUAGGUGUCAGGUUGUCAGAGCAUCAUCCCCUGGGAAGUCUCUUCAAGUGCCUGCUGCUACAGCAGGAUUAAUUUUAUCUUUGUCUUCUGAGAGUCACUGAGGAGUGACAUGAAUAACCUCUGCAGUCCUUUAGCCAUUUGUGUUGUCUUGAAUCUUUAUUGGCAAUUACUGCCCACUCACAAACUCUGGUUGCUGCUUUUUAAUAUCAUCCUGAAUUCAUGCUGUGACUACAUCACUUUUUCC